rnacentral:lncRNA from 7 species
GACCUCUUUCGAACGCAAGUAGCCGGGAGAUUCGGAAUCCCGCGCGCGAGUUGGGCUUGGUCAGCUGGCGUCGUAGCCGCACUCUGGGAGGCCUGUGGGUUCGAGCCGCGGAGGGUAGGGGUAGGGGCGGGUUUCAGUUGUUGGCCUGUUGCUGUAUUUCGCGUGGUGAUGGAAUUUAAU